rnacentral:rRNA from 1 species
AACGAACGCUGGCGGCAUGCCUAACACAUGCAAGUCGAACGGGAUCCUAGCUUGCUAGGUGAGAGUGGCGGACGGGUGAGUAACACGUGGGAAUCUGCCUUUUGGUUCGGGAUAACCGCGGGAAACUGCGGCUAAUACCGAAUGCCCUCGUGAGAGGAAAGAUUUAUCGCCAGAAGAGGAGCCCGCGUCCGAUUAGGUAGUUGGUGGGGUAAAGGCCUACCAAGCCGACGAUCGGUAGCUGGUCUGAGAGGAUGAUCAGCCACACUGGGACUGAGAUACGGCCCAGACUCCUACGGGAGGCAGCAGUGGGGAAUAUUGGACAAUGGGGGCAACCCUGAUCCAGCAAUGCCGCGUGAGUGGUGAAGGCCUUAGGGUUGUAAAGCUCUUUUACCCGGGAUGAUAAUGACAGUACCGGGAGAAUAAGCCCCGGCUAACUCCGUGCCAGCAG